rnacentral:rRNA from 1 species
GACGAACGCUGGCGGCGUGCUUAACACAUGCAAGUCGAACGGAAAGGGCCUGCUUUUGUGGGGUGCUCGAGUGGCGAACGGGUGAGUAACACGUGAGUAACCUGCCCUUGACUUUGGGAUAACUUCAGGAAACUGGGGCUAAUACCGGAUAGGAGCUCCUGCUGCAUGGUGGGGGUUGGAAAGUUUCGGCGGUUGGGGAUGGACUCGCGGCUUAUCAGCUUGUUGGUGGGGUAGUGGCUUACCAAGGCUUUGACGGGUAGCCGGCCUGAGAGGGUGACCGGCCACAUUGGGACUGAGAUACGGCCCAGACUCCUACGGGAGGCAGCAGUGGGGAAUAUUGCACAAUGGGCGGAAGCCUGAUGCAGCAACGCCGCGUGCGGGAUGACGGCCUUCGUGUUGUAAACCGCUUUCGCCUGUGACGAAGCGUGAGUGACGGUAAUGGGUAAAGAAGCACCGGCUAACUACGUG